GAAGUUAUAGCUCAAGUGGUAGAGUGCAUGCUUAGCAUGCAUGAGGUCCUGGGUUCAAUCCCCAGUAACUCCU
rfam:Camelus ferus unplaced genomic scaffold scaffold775, whole genome shotgun sequence.